rnacentral:rRNA from 1 species
GACAGAGGAUGCAAGCGUUAUCCGGAAUUAUUGGGCGUAAAGAGUACGUAGGCGGCUUAUCAAGUCCCGGGUUAAAUCCCACGGCUUAACUGUGGACAGGCCCUGGAAACUGAUAGGCUGGAGUGUGGUAGGGGUAGCGGGAAUUCCCGGUGUAGCGGUGAAAUGCGUAGAGAUCGGGAAGAACACCUGUGGCGAAAGCGCGCUACUAGACCACAACUGACGCUGAGGUACGAAAGCUAGGGGAGCGAAUGGG